GAUGAACGCUGGCGGCGUGCUUAACACAUGCAAGUCGAACGGAAAGGCGCUGCUCUUGUGGGGUGCUCGUUUGGCGAAGGGGGGAGUAACACGCGAGUAACCUGCCCUUGUCUGAGGGAUAUCUUCAGGAAACUGGGGCGAUUACCGCAUAGGAUCUCCUGCUGCAUGUUGGUGGUUGGAAAGUGUCGGCGGUUGGGGAUGGUCUCGCGGCUUAUCAGCUAGUUGGUGGGGUAGUGGCUUACCAAGGGUUCGACGGGUAGCCGGCCUGAGAGGGUGACCGGCCACAUUGGGACUACGGGACGCCGCAGACUGCUAUGGGACGCAGUAGGCGGGAACAUGACGGAGUGAGCGCGCGUGAGAGACGGAAGCGCUGCGUGCGGGAUGCCGGCCUUCGAGUUGUGAACCGCUGUCGCAUGUGACGAAGCGUGCGUGACGGUAAUGGGUAAGGAAGCACCGGCUAACUACGUG
rnacentral:rRNA from 1 species